GGUGAUAUAGCUCAGUUGGUAGGGUGCUUGCCUAAUGUGCCCAAGAUCCUGGGUUCAAACCCCAGCACCACCA
rnacentral:tRNA from 1 species